rnacentral:lncRNA from 1 species
GGCCAUGUUGAUUUUAUUACCCAGCGAUUUUUCAAUUGUAUUGCAUUGAUUUGAAUCCAUUCCUAACAAUUUGAUUGCAUAAAGCAGCGGGCACUGUAUUUUCAUAAUUCAGUCAUUAAUAGCUAUGAUUGUGUUUCCUUCUCAUAUCUUGGGACUAUUUGAUAGAGGAAUAAAAAGACUGUAUUAAUUCGUUUAAUUUUUAAAGCAAACUUUUAUAUCAUCAUGUAAGGAGUUGAGAAAACACGUGUCUUACCUGUUCAAGAUGGCCGCCAUUUUGUUAGCCUCGUGCUAUCGCCUUUUUUGGUUUAUCAUUAUUAUUUUGAAAAUGGAGUAUGGAAGACAUUUGUUAAGGAUUAUUAAUACUGACAGAAUAGACAUAAUUUCAUUAAGAGUCUUUAUUGAAAAUUUUGCUUUAUUAUUAACAAUUGCUUACAAUAUGCUAAUAAGAGGAUGAUUAAAAAAGGAAGCCAUUGAGUGGCGUGUUGAAUUCCUCUUCCAUAUCUUGAUUGUCACAUCCUGCUCGUCGCUACAUGGUGUAUUCGGUUCUUGUGGAUGUUGGACUGUUGUGCACAUUUUAGAACUGUAUUUUACGUAUUGACUACGGUUUGGUGUGUGGUUUCUUUGUUGAGAAGAUUGUUUAUUUUGUGGUCUAGGUUUUGUUAUAUGUUGAAAAGUAGAGCUGAAAGGAAGAGGAGAAAGAACAUUAUUGAGUUAUUUAACUAAUGCUAACUUAUUGUAAGUUCUUAAUUUUUGUUUUAAUAAAAAAGUUAAUUAUUCUGUGGACACUAUGGAGUAUCUGCAUGAACUUGUUGAUAAUGUUUUGUAUUGGCUUGACGACUGGGAGUUCGGUAUUCAGAUCAAGUUCAACUGGAGGCGAAGAAACGUCGCUGAGGGACCCCGGGGUCCGACAUUUAGCGGGAAUGUUGAUCGUACUUACCUUGCAAUCAGACUGAAUAAUUUUCUCUGUAUUUCUUUUGUAUGUGAAUUAUUUCUUUGUUCUAAUAUUGUAUUGUGAAGAUAGUUUUUGUCAAAAACACUAAAUAAAACUUAUAAUUUUGGUUAUUUUGAAACCAAAAUUAUAAAUUUCGUUAAGCAUAUGUCAAAUAUAUUUAUAGGAAAUCUUACACUUAUACUCAUUAUCUUUAGAGUAAAUCUUAAAACAGUAUAAGG